AACGAACGCUGGCGGCAUGCCUAACACAUGCAAGUCGAACGAGACCUUCGGGUCUAGUGGCGCACGGGUGCGUAACGCGUGGGAACCUGCCCUUAGGUUCGGAAUAACUCCCCGAAAGGGGUGCUAAUACCGGAUAAUGUCUUCGGACCAAAGAUUUAUCGCCUUUGGAUGGGCCCGCGUUGGAUUAGCUAGUUGGUAGGGUAAAAGCCUACCAAGGCUACGAUCCAUAGCUGGUCUGAGAGGAUGAUCAGCCACACUGGGACUGAGACACGGCCCAGACUCCUACGGGAGGCAGCAGUGGGGAAUAUUGGACAAUGGGCGAAAGCCUGAUCCAGCAAUGCCGCGUGAGUGAUGAAGGCCUUAGGGUUGUAAAGCUCUUUUACCCGGGAUGAUAAUGACAGUACCGGGAGAAUAAGCGCCGGCUAACUCCGUG
rnacentral:rRNA from 1 species